rnacentral:rRNA from 1 species
UACGUAGGGUGCAAGCGUUGUCCGGAAUUAUUGGGCGUAAAGAGCUCGUAGGCGGUUUGUCGCGUCUGCUGUGAAAACUCAGGGCUUAACCCUGAGCCUGCAGUGGGUACGGGCAGACUAGAGUGUGGUAGGGGUAGAGGGAAUUUCCAGUGGAGCGGUGAAAUGCGUAGAUAUUGGAAAGACCACCGAUGGCGAAGGCACUCUACUGGGCCAUUACUGACACUGAGAGACGAAAGCUAGGGGAGCAAAUGGG